ensembl:lncRNA
AUGAUCACAAUACGUCUUAGAGAGUGGCUGGCAGAGAAAAUGGUCUGUGGUCUACAGAUUUCAAGCUCCUGGAGGAUGGGGUUCCAUAAACUGUAUAGCAACCAAGUUCCCUCUCCUAGGCUCCAAGCUGCCCAGCCUCCCACCUGUAGACUCAAAACACCACCAGGUUUGGAGACUCAUGGCAGCCCACUCCAGUCCUCUUGCCUGGAAAAUCCCACGGACGAAGGAGCCUGGCGGGUUACAGUCCCUGGGGUCGCGGAGAGUCGGACAGGACUGAGCGACUUCACUUUCACUUUCCGAGACUCAUGCCAAAACGUCCGCACAGAACCCUUCUCUCAGAACUGCAUCGCGCCUGAUUUCCUGCCGGUGCCAUGUUCCUCUGUGAGUUUGAUGGCAUCCCUCCCUUCCUUUCCUCGGGGCACGGAGCGAUCUCUGAGCUCUAUUAGCCCAGCACCAAGUGCAGGUCAGUACUACCUGCAAUCAUCCCCCGGCACCGACCACCUGCCGGCUUGGACGCUCACUGCCUGCCUGCUGCCAGUUUGAGAGCCCUCAGCCACCAGCCAGGACAUCUGUCCCCAGACCACUGCCAGGCCUCCCGGCUACCAGCCACCCGCCCGCAGGCCCGCCUCACACGCUCGCUGGGUGGAAGCCAAGCGGUCCUCUGCUGCCCACCCGCGGGUCCUGCAGCACCAGCCGAAACCAGACCUGAACGCGGAUGUGAGCCCUGAAUCAACACAGGGACAGGAUGGCUCUCAUUAUUUCUGAAAUGAGUGCAUUGUUUUCUGUACUUGAAUGCGCUGUCUUAAUACCUAUAUUUACUCUAUUUUGUAGCUCACUUUUUAUUAUCUAAUUUGUUCGUCAACUGGCCUUUCUCUGGAGGUAAAGCACAUAUUCAGGAAAGUGCACAACACAUAACUGUGUAUCAUCACAUAGCAAGCAUAUCCAAGCAAGCGGUUUCCAGGUGAAGAAAUAAGACACCGUUCACCCCGGAGGUUCCAUCAAGCCCCUUUCCAAUCACUACUCUUUAAUCCUCAUCCAAGGCAACUUCUAUCCUGACUUCUAAACCCACAGUCCCCUUUUGCCUUUUUUUAAAUUUUAUAGAAGGGGAAUAAGACAUUAUAUAUUCUCUUUAGUCUGCCUUUUUUAUUCUAUAUUUAUUAGAUUAAGCCAUGUUUACUUCCGUGGCUGUGAUUCAUUUGUAUUAUUAUUUUAAAAAGUCCAUUGUAUGAACCUACCAUUAUUCAUAUAUUCAUUUUACUCAUGAUGACUAUUUGGGCUUUUUCUUGGUUUGGGCUGUAACUAAUAAUACUGCUUUGGCUAUACUUGGGCAUGUCAUUUACAGCACAUGUGCUUGUGCUGCUGUUGGGAAAAUACUGAUUGAGUUAUAGGGCACACAUACCUCCAACUUCAGGACACAAAUACCAAACUAUCUUCAAAGCAGUUGAACUAACUUGCAUGCCUCCUGACACUGUGUGAGGAUCCCUGUCACUGCACAUCAUCAUUAAUGCUUGAUAUUUUUUAACUGUUUUCAAUUGAGGGUACU